rnacentral:rRNA from 1 species
CCUACGGGUGGCAGCAGUGAGGAAUAUUGGUCAAUGGGCGGAAGCCUGAACCAGCCAAGUCGCGUGAGGGAGUAAGGCCCUACGGGUCGUAAACCUCUUUUGCCGGGGAGCAGUGUCCAGCUCGUGAGCUUGGUGGGAGCGUCCCCGGAGAACAGGCAUCGCCCACCUCGGUGCAAGCAGCCGCGGAAUUACGAAGGUUGGGAGGGUACUCCGGUUUGAUUGGGUUAAAAGGGUGCGUAGGCGGGCCUUCAGGCGGGCGGGAAAAGUCCGGGGGUCAACCCCGCCCCGCCGUCGGAACCGGGGGCCUUGAGUACGGGAGAGGUACGCGGAAUGCGUGGUGUAGCGGUGAAAUGCAUAGAUAUCACGCAGAACCCCGAUUGCGAAGGCAGCGUACCGGCCGGUCACUGACGCUGAGGCACGAAGGCGCGGGUAUCGAACAGGAUUAGAUACCCUGGUAGUC